CCUACGGGUGGCAGCAGUGGGGAAUAUUGCACAAUGGGGGAAACCCUGAUGCAGCGACGCCGCGUGAGGGAUGAAGUAUCUCGGUACGGAAAGCUCUAUCAGCAGGGAAGAAAAUGACGGUACCUGACCAAGAAGCCCCAGCUAACUACGUGACAGCAGCCGCGGACAUACGUAGGGGGCAAGCGUUAUCCGGAUUUAAUGGGGGUAAAGGGAGCGUAGACGGCAGCACAAGUCUGGAGUGAAAUCCCGGGGGUUAACCCCGGAACUGCGUUGGAAACUGUGCGGCUGGAGUGCAGGAGGGGUAAGCGGAAUUCCUAGUGUAGCGGUGAAAUGCGUAGAUAUUAGGAGGAACACCGGUGGCGAAGGCGGCUUACUGGACUGUAACUGACGUUGAGGCUCGAAAGCGUGGGGAGCAAACAGGAUUAGAUACCCCAGUAGUC
rnacentral:rRNA from 1 species